rnacentral:rRNA from 1 species
UAGGGAAUCUUCCGCAAUGGACGAAAGUCUGACGGAGCAACGCCGCGUGAGUGAAGAAGGAUUUCGGUUCGUAAAACUCUGUUGUUAGGGAAGAAAAAAUGUAUAGUAACUAUAUACAAAAGAGACGGUACCUAACCAGAAAGCCACGGCUAACUACGUGCCAGCAGCCGCGUUAAUACGUAGGUGGCAAGCGUUGUCCGGAAUUAUUGGGCGUAAAGCGCGCGCAGGUGGUUUAGAAAGUCUGAUGUGAAAGCCCACGGCUCAACCGUGGAGGGUUAUUGGAAACUCAUAAACUUGAGUGCAGGAGAGAAAAGUGGAAUUCCUAGUGUAGCGGUGAAAUGCGUAGAGAUUAGGAGGAACACCGGUGGCGAAAGCGGCUUUUUGGCCUGCAACUGACACUGAGGCGCGAAAGCGUGGGGAGCAAACAGG